UACAGAGGUCUCAAGCGUUGUUCGGAUUCAUUGGGCGUAAAGCGCGUGUAGGCGGCCCGAUAAGUCCGCUGUGAAAGUCCAGGGCUCAACCCUGGGAUGCCGGUGGAUACUGUCGGGCUCGAGUCCGGAAGAGGCGAGUGGAAUUCCUGGUGUAGCGGUGAAAUGCGCAGAUAUCAGGAGGAACACCAAUGGCGAAGGCAGCUCGCUGGGACGUGACUGACGCUGAGACGCGAAAGCGUGGGGAGCAAACAGG
rnacentral:rRNA from 1 species